rnacentral:rRNA from 1 species
AGCGAACGCUGGCGGCAGGCCUAACACAUGCAAGUCGAACGGAUCCUUCGGGAUUAGUGGCGGACGGGUGAGUAACACGUGGGAACGUGCCCUUUGGUUCGGAACAACUCAGGGAAACUUGAGCUAAUACCGGAUGUGCCCUUCGGGGGAAAGAUUUAUCGCCAUUGGAGCGGCCCGCGUCUGAUUAGCUAGUUGGUGAGGUAAAGGCUCACCAAGGCGACGAUCAGUAGCUGGUCUGAGAGGAUGAUCAGCCACAUUGGGACUGAGACACGGCCCAAACUCCUACGGGAGGCAGCAGUGGGGAAUCUUGCGCAAUGGGCGAAAGCCUGACGCAGCCAUGCCGCGUGAAUGAUGAAGGUCUUAGGAUUGUAAAAUUCUUUCACCGGGGACGAUAAUGACGGUACCCGCAGAAUAAGUCACGGCUAACUUCGUGCCAGCCGCCGCUGUAACAC